CCUGAGUUGUUUCCCACCUCCAGCCUCGGUGUGAGGUGCUUCGCUCUCACACCGCAUUGCCUCUAAAUGAAGCCAUGAAAGCUUUGAAGGAACUUUGCUCUUCAAAUUUAUUCCAUGAGUGUGACUUCCCAGAAGAAGGCCCCAAAGUUUGAGAAGUAUUGAUGGUGUUGGGCAGAUCGUGGGCAUUUUAAGUGACUUCAGAUAGGGGACCAGCAGAUGGCAAUUUUCCUGGGACUUCAUCAGCGUUAAGUUUGCUUUCUGAAAUCAGCUGACGGUGUGGAGGAAGAAAGCCGGGCAUUAUUUAGCGCUAUUGAUUGCCUGUCCUUGUGUUCACUGUUUCUAUUUCCUGUGCAGAGAAUCCUCUGUCAUACCUUUGCUCAUUUAGUAAUUUGGCCUUGGGGGGUUCUUAAGCAAUUUUUUGAUUUUUUUUUUUCUGGAUGAAACAUUUUCAGCCUUGGUCCAAGGAGAGGUGUAAGGGAGUCUAAUAGUCCUAGAAGAUGUGUGUGCCAUAAAUGCAUGUGUCUACGUCUGUGUGUGUUUAUCUGUGUCAGUGUGAGUGUGUAUGUAUGUGUAUGUAUGUGUGUGUGUGCGCAUGUGUGUGCACAUGUGUGUGUGUAUCUGUGCAGGUAUACAUGCCCAUAUGUAAUUGUGAAGGGUUUCUUAACUUUCCUCAGAUUCUCAAAAAGUUUAAAUUUUUAAAAAAUUGUUACUUUUUUUAAAGAAAGGUUUAAAUUUUUAAAAAAGGUGUGGCAGUGCACACUGCAAUCCCAGCACUCAAGAGGUGGAGGUAAGAGGAUUGUGGGUUUGAUGUCAGCCUGGACACACAGCAACACUCUUUCUAAACCAACCCACCCAAUCACCCACCCCAUGAAAAUGAGAAUGAAAGAGAAAGGAGAAAAAACGCUGUAGAAGGAAGAAGAUGGCAUGAUACCCACGCAGAGGAUUAGAGACGAUCUGAAGAAUAAACCAGGCGCAGCCGGAGGACGGCCAUCUUAACCGUUGGAGGAUGGUGGAGAUGCCAGUAAAAACCAACUCAAAAUAGUCCAAAGGUCUGGAACUCUGAAGUCAUUAAAGGAAAACUGAAGGAAGACACUUCAGAAAUUCGAGUCCAGAAAGCCACCAUCUUGGGCCAUUGCUCCAUUCUGCAGAUGAAGAAACCGAAGACCAGAGAGGCUAGGUGACUCGUCUGAGGAUGCACAGCAAGCGGCCCAGUGGCAGAGUUAACCUCCACUUGUCCCAUUUCUCUGCCCCUCCCAUCCCAUUCCCAGCCCUCUUUGCAAGGUCUAAUCCAGAAGCCUGCUCUGAGCUCUGCACCUGAACGAAACGGCCCCCACCCCGGCUUGCUCCUCGCUGAGAGUCCAGUGGCCGAGCCAGAUGCGGCAGCCAUUGCUCAAGGCGGCGAGCAGGGAGGGCCGCGGCUCCUGCGAGGCUUAUUGCACCAUCACUCACUUCCUGUCAGGCCUUAUUGCACCAACAUCUCCUAAAUGACAGAGUUGGAUUCAUUAACUGUAAAUUCAAUCAAACUUGAAAGAGAGAGAAAAUAAAAGUGACUUGGAACAAGAGGAAUGGAGGGUGCUAGCGA